AGAGACAGGGUCUCACCAUGUUGCCCCACCUGGUCUUGAACUCCUGGGCUCAAGCAGUCUUCCUGCCUCAGCCUGCUAAAGUGCUAGGAUUACAGGCGUGAGCCACCAUGUCCGGCCAAAAACCACAUUUUAAAAGAUUUUGUGCUUACAAUUCUGAAUGAAAUGAGAGAAAACAGGUUGCAAAAAUGCAUCUGUUGAAUGAAACUCGAAAAGCAUGCUGAACAAAAGCAGCCAGGAAGAAAAGGGUGAAUCAUUAUGUAUGAUUCCAUUCAUGCAUACAGUUCUAGAACAGGCAAAAUCCAUCCACACUCAAAGACAUCAGAUCACUGGUUGCCUGGGUUGGAGGGAUUGCGGCAAUUGACUGGGAAGGGCAGGUGGAAGUUUUGGGAGCGCUGAAAAUGUUUUCUAUCUUGGCUGUGGUGGACAUUAUACAGGAGUAUAUGCAUUUGUCAAAAGCCACUGAGUGGGGCUGCCAGCGUGGAAGACACAGCACAGCCACUUCUCCGAAACUUAAACCUGGAAUUACUACAUGGCCCAGCAAUUCCACUUCUAGAUAUACCCAAAAGAGUUGGCAGCAGGGAUUCAAACCAAUAUUUGUACAGCAACGUUCAUAGCAGCAUUAUUUGCAAUAGUCAACAGGUGGAAACACCCAAAUGUCCAUCUGCAGAUAAAUGGAUAAACAAAAUGUGGCAUAGACAUACAAUGGAAUAUGACUCAGCCUUAAAAAGAGGUAAAAUCCUCCAGGCGGGGUGGCUCACGCCUGUAAUCCCAGCACUUUGGGAGGCCAAGGCAGGUGGAUCACGAGGUCAGGAGAUCAAGACCAUCCCGGCUAACACAGUGAAACCCCAACUUUACUAAAAAUACAACAACAAAAAAUUAGCCAGGCGUGGUGGUGGGUGCUUGUAGUCCUAGCUACUCGGGAGGCUGAGGCAGGAGAAUGGUGUGAACCCGGGAGGCAGAGCUUGCAGUGAGUCGAGAUUGCGCCACUGCACUCAAGCCUGGGCAACAGAGCGAGACUCUGUCUCAAAAAAAAAAAAAAGAGGUAAUAUCAGCCAGGUGGGGUGGCUCACACCUGUAAUCCCAGCCCUUUGGACUUUGGGAGGCCAAGACGGGUGGAUCACCUGAGGUCAGGAGUUUGAGACCAGCCUGGCCUACAUGGUGAAACCCCGUCUCUACUAAAAAUAUAAAAAUUAGCCGGGCAUGGUGGGGUGCGCCUGUAGUCCCAGCUACUAGGGAGGCUGAGGCAGGGGAAUCACUUGAACCUGGGAGGUGGAGGUUGCAGUGAGCAGAGAUCAUGACACUGCACUCCAGCCUGGACAACAGAACGAGAUUCCAUCUCAAAAAAAAAAAAAAAAGAGAUAAAAUCCUGAUACAUGCUACAUCAUGGAUGGGCCUUCAAAUCAUUAUGCUAUGUGAAAUAAGCCAGAUAUGAAAAGACCAAUAUCACAUGAUUCCACUUAUAUGAGUUUCCAAAUUCAUAGAGCCAAAAGACAGAAUAGUGAUUUACCAGGGGCAGAGGGAGGGGGAACGGGAAGUUACUGUUUAAUGGGUACAGAGUUUCAGUUUGGGAAGAUUAAAAUUCUGAAGAUGGAUGGUAGUGAUAGUUGCACAACGUGAAUGUACUUAAUACCACUGAACUGUACACUUAAAAUGGUUAAAAUGGUAAAUUGUAUGUUAUAUAUAUUUUACCAUGAUAAUUUUUUUUUCAGAAACAGGGUCUCUGUCACCCAGGCUGGAAUGCAAUGGUGCUGUCAUAGCUCAUUGCAGCCUCGAACUCCUAGGCUCUAGAGAUCCUCCCACUUCAGCCUCCUGUGAGACUACAGGCACACGCCACCAGGCUCAGCUAAUUUUAAAUUUUUUUGUAGAGAUGAGAGUCUUGUUAUGUUGCCCUGACUGGUCUAGAACUCCUGGCCUCAAGCAAUUUAUCCACCUCACCCUCUCAAAGCACUGGCGUUAUAGGCAUGAGCCACCAUGCCUGGCAAAAAAAAACAAACAAAGAAACAAAAAAUUGUUUUAAAUUCAUCAAACUAUGCACUUUUUUUUUUUUUUCGAGACAGUGUCUUGCUCUGUCACCCAGGCUGGAGUGCAAUGGCGCGAUCUUGGCUCACUGCAACCUCCGCCUCUCUGGUUCAAGCGAUUCUCCUGCCUCAGCCUCCCGAGUAGCUGGGAUUACGGGCAUGCACCACCACACCUGGCUAAUUUUUGUAUUUUUAGUAGAGACAGGGUUUCACCAUAUUAGUCAGGCUGGUCACAAACUCCUGACCUCAAGUAACCUGCCCGCCUCAGCCUCCCAAAGUACUAGGAUUAGAGGCGUGAGCCACCAUACCCAGCCUAAACUAUGAACUUACAUGGUACAUUUUACUCUCUGUAAAGUAUGCCUCAAUAAAUAUAAUUUAAAUAAAAUAAAUAAACAUAGAGGCCAGAAAAAU
rnacentral:lncRNA from 1 species